AUUGAACGCUGGCGGCAGGCCUAACACAUGCAGGUCGAGCGGAUGAAGGGAGCUUGCUCCUGGAUUCAGCGGCGGACGGGUGGGUAAUGCCUAGGAAUCUGCCUGGUAGUGGGGGAUAACGUCCGGAAACGGGCGCUAAUACCGCAUACGUCCUGAGGGAGAAAGUGGGGGAUCUUCGGACCUCACGCUAUCAGAUGAGCCUAGGUCGGAUUAGCUAGUUGGUGGGGUAAAGGCCUACCAAGGCGACGAUCCGUAACUGGUCUGAGAGGAUGAUCAGUCACACUGGAACUGAGACACGGUCCAGACUCCUACGGGAGGCAGCAGUGGGGAAUAUUGGACAAUGGGCGAAAGCCUGAUCCAGCCAUGCCGCGUGUGUGAAGAAGGUCUUCGGAUUGUAAAGCACGUUAAGUUGGGAGGAAGGGCAGUAAGUUAAUACCUUGCUGUUUUGACGUUACCAACAGAAUAAGCACCGGCUAACUUCGUG
rnacentral:rRNA from 1 species